AUUUAAAGCUCAAGGAAAUAAUUCUGGGGCUCUAAUUUGAAGAAAAUUGCCCUAAUCAUGUAAAUUAUACCAACUAGCUAAAAUCCAUAAACAAGUUCUGGGGUUACCAAGCAGCAUAGUCACACAGAAAAUAAAUGCAGUUUUGGCUCGGAUCUCACAGGUGGGAGUAUUCAGUAUGCUCACUACUGCUAUCAUGUGAUCAUGCUCAUCAUACCAACAAACCAGUCAAACCAAAUAGCAUGCAUGAAUCACCAAUAUCAACAACAUGUGCAGACAGACUCUAACUCAAGAC
rnacentral:lncRNA from 1 species